rnacentral:rRNA from 1 species
CCUAUCAGCUUGUUGGCGGGGUAACGGCCCACCAAGGCAUCGACGGGUAGCUGGUCUGAGAGGACGAGCAGCCACACUGGGACUGAGACACGGCCCAGACUCCUACGGGAGGCAGCAGUGGGGAAUAUUGCGCAAUGGGCGAAAGCCUGACGCAGCAACGCCGCGUGGGGGGUGACGGCCUUCGGGUUGUAAACCCCUUUCAGCAGGGACGAAAAUGACGGUACCUGCAGAAGAAGCCCCGGCCAACUACGUGCCAGCAGCCGCGGUAACACGUAGGGGGCAAGCGUUGUCCGGAUUUAUUGGGCAUAAAGAGCUCGUAGGCGGUUGCGUAAGUCGGAUGUGAAAACUCAGGGCUCAACCCGGAGACGCCAUUCGAUACUGCGCUGACUAGAGUCCGGUAGGGGAGCAUGGAAUUCCUGGUGUAGCGGUGAAAUGCGCAGAUAUCAGGAGGAACACCGAUGGCGAAGGCAGGUCUCUGGGCUGUUACUGACGCUGAGAAGCGAAAGCAUGGGGAGCGAACAGGAUUAGAUACCCUGGUAGUCCAUGCCGUAAACGUUGGGCACUAGGUGUGGGGGACAUUCCACGUUUUCCGCGCCGUAGCUAACGCAUUAAGUACCCCGCCUGGGGAGUACGG